CUUUUUUGUACUUUCCUCAAAAUUUUAUAUAUAUAUGUAUGUGUGUGUGUAUAUAUAUUUUUUAUUCACUUUAUGUAUUAUCAACACUUGACCCUCAACAACUCCCUUAUACCCCACUUUAUGUCUUAAGAGGAUUUUGUAGGAAAAAGUGCUAAUGGCAGAUACCUUCUGUUGUCAAAUCCCUUUCCAUAUUCCUAACCUAUUCUGCUUCCGUAUUUUCCCUUUCUAGGCUGCAGCUUCAUCUUCUAAUCUCUUACUGUGGCGAUUCACACCUGUACUCCAUACAAAAUUUACCUGUGUAUUCAGCACAAUAAGACUUUAAAUAAUGAUUUUCCAGCCCUUACAUUCAAGAAUGGUAUGUCCAGAAGUUUAAGUGUGAGGUGCACAAUAUAUAUCCUGGAUAUUGUUCACUGUGUGAACAUGUCAAUAUGCUGCUAUCAUUCUCACAGUUAAAAGCUAAGCCUUCACAAGUCCACCACCUCAGCUGGCACUCAGCUGAUAGUCAUAUGCUCAAGUCUACACAGAAAAAUAACUGCACUAUCAUUCUUAAAGAAGAUUUUUUGGUUUUGUUGUUGUUUGUCUUUGAGACACGGUUUCACUAUGUAGCUUUGGCUGACCUGGAACUCACUAUGAAGACCUGGCCUUGAACUCACAGAAAUUCAUCUGCCUCCUGAAUUCUGGGGAAGUUCUUUAAGGAGUUUUUCAAAAUGUAUUUUUAUACAUGAUUUCUGUCCUAAGAUUGGAACCUAACCAAGCAGAAUAUGAAGAUAUACUUAUGUAAAGCCGGAGACACCAAUGCAAAAAUAAGGUGUGCUAGAAUCUUAGCGACAUCUAGUGGCAGGUUCAGCCUUCACAACACAGAUCUACUGCCACCCACUGGCAUUCUCAGAGCUGCAGUGUCAAAGCAAAUCUGGAUUAAAGACCCUACUUGUAGGUUUCCCUUUCUAGUUUGCCCAUUUUAGAUAAUGCUUAUUGAAAAGGUGUCACCAUCAACUGUUGGCCUUUAGUCCCAGCACUUUCAAACCUUUUGGCCAGAACCAGAUUUUCUUGGGCCAGAACGAUUAUGCAGCAGCAGGUGAAGGAGCUUGCGACAUAAAUAUGACAAGCUGAGUUUCAUCUCUGACACUAAUGGUAGAUGGUGAGAACUGAGUCUCCUGACCUUCUCAAGUAUGCUGGAGCACACAUGCACCCAUUCAUGCUCACACAAGAGAAAAAUGAGGCCAGGCUGAUCUACAGAGUGAUUCCAGGAGCCACGUGUACAGAGAAGCACUUUCUCAUGAGAAAACCAAACACAUUUAUGAUAUCUACUUGAACCUGAGAGCUCGAGAGUUUGAGACUAAUCAAGGAGGGGGUAGUGAGAGGAGAGAGGUAAGACGGAGAGUGAAGGAUGGGGGAAGAAAAAAGGGACUCCAAUUCUUCAACUUUCUUGUCAAUAUACAACAUAAUUAAUAAGUCCUCCUGCCAGUACAAUCUUAGAUGUUUUCAAACUUUGGUCUGUAUCCAACAAGUGAAAAGAAAGUUAGGAAAAGACUGGCCUAAGCUACACUUUAAAAUGUAGUUAAGCACUAUCAAGACUUCCACAAUACAUCUCAUGAACUAUACAAAAACAUUCUUAACCUAGUGCAGAUGCAGGACCUUACAUUAAGAAAGUCCGAAUUGCUGGACAUUCACUAACAUUCUACCACAGCUAUAGAUUUGCUUAUAAAGACACACUCAUGGGGUGGGGGCACUGUGGUGCUGGCAUUCAGCCACUCUUGCUCUUCCCUACGUACUUCCUCAAACAGUAUAAACAGAAGGCUAAAACUACAUUUCCCAAACCGCAUUACUAUUAGGUAGCCAAUGAUAGCCACAGCAGAUGAACAAGUGUGGAAGAAAAGAAGCAUUCUUCUCUUGAUCACACUGUUACAGAGCAGUAGGCCCUUGUGAGUUCCUACAGUGGGGUAUCCACAGACAAUCAGGGCUCCUGUAGAAGCCACAUGGCAGUUGGAUAGAAGAUGGCAGGCUCCAAACAGGACUCAUUCCUAAGUCAGAGACAUUCUUCAAUCCCUGUCUCUAAAAACAUUUCUUUUUUUUCCCCUUCUGUUCUUCCAACUCUUUCAAGAAUUUGUAACCUAGCACCUCAAAACAUUUCCUUUCUGUUUGAAACAUGUAGCUUUUGUUUUUGUCUUCCUCAUAUAAUGCUUAACAAAAAUCAAGUGAAAUAAUUUAUACUUGUGGUUAUGCUAAAACAUGUUAGAGGACACAGAAUUGCUAAGGAUACAGGUUCUUACACAUUAAAGAUAUUCCCGAACAUUUAUUGUAGCUAAGGAUGAAAACAAACUGUGAAGAAGGGGUGGGGGGAAGGCUUGAGAUAAAGAGAAGGAAAUAUAAAGCAAACAAACAAAAAAUAGGAUACAUAUUCAUAAAUUAAAUAUUACACCCCGGAUGUCUUUUGCAAAGGGGUAAAAACAAGGCCUGGGAUGUAGCCAGUGUCAGAGAGCACACAAUUUUAUCAUUUGAGAGGGAGAGAGGGCAGGCAACAAUAAAGGGCUGGGGUGUAGCUUAGUAUGGAGCACUGCCAAGAAAGGGCAGGGCAACAGGUUCAAUUCCAAGUGCUGCAAAAACAAAAUCAGACAAAAAGAAAAAUACAUAAUAGAAUAGUAUUUUUUAAAUGUACAUGUUUGUAAUUUGGAACAGCCAUGAUGGCUUAUUCUGACUGUCAAACUUGACAGUCACAGACUCUCUAGGCACAUCUAUAAGAUAGCUUGUGGAUGGAUUAACUAGGAGGCAAGAUCUACCCUAGAUGUUGUCAAUAUCAUUUCAUAGGCUGGGGUCCUAGACUGUGUGUUUUAAAAAGGGAAGUAGACUAAAGAGAUUGCUCAGUGGUCUAAGCGAAACUGUGCAGUUGUGAAGACUGGAAUUUGGAUCCUGACACCCAAGUAAUAAGGCAGGUGCUGCACGAGCACUUGUCACUCCAGUUCCAGGGGCUGUGUGUGAUGCCCUCCUCUGGCCUUCACAUGUACACUUAACACACAGCACACACACAUGCACUUACACUAAAUAUUGGGGAUAAGGAAAAGGAGGAAGGGUGAACACCAAAGUUCAUCUCUGCUUCCUGGCUCUAAGUGCAUUGGUUCAUGUGGACUGCAUCUUCAACCUCAGAGCAAAGAUAAACCCUUGCUCUAAGUUACUUUCUUCUGCUACUGAGUCAGAGCCAUGAGAAAAGAAAUUAAUACAGAAGUCAUCAUAUUCAAUUAACAGUUUGAUAAAGAUGCAUAAUAAAGUUUUCUUUCUUUCUUUCUUUCUUUCUUUCUUUCUUUCUUUCUUUUUUUUUUUCCAGACAGUCAUUUUGUGUAGCCCUGGCUGUCCUGAAACUCCAUCUAUAGACCAGGCUGGCCUUAAAUUCACAGAGAUAAGCCUGCCUCUGCCUUCCAAGUGCUUUAAAGGCAUGUGCCACCACCAACCAGGAUAUAAGGAGAUUUUAAAGGGGACUAACUAAACAAAAAUAAAGCAUAAAACUUCCAAAUUGGUAGUUUAAUAGUAGAGAAAGAAAAUCAACAGGGGACAUUAAUGAAACAAUAAUGGGACUAGAUAGAUACAACAUGCAUGCUCGCAUAUACAAUAACAAAGGGACAGAAUACAAACAUAAUGCAAUAAAAAAAAAAGCAAAGGUGAGAUAGAAGAAAAAAAAAUCCUAAAGUGUUAAUGAUCACAAGAUGGCCUGUCCAUUUACAUCUGUGUCUGGAAGCUAGGAGAGAUAAGUCAUGCUUGUAAUCCCAGUGUUCAAGAGACAGAGCCAAAAGGAUUGCUGAAAGUUCACAAGCUUGGUUAGUGGAACAUGUUCCAGGACAACCUGCUCAAAAGGCCAAAAUAAGCAAAUAAAUCAACAGAUAUAAAGUCAUAGCUGGAUUUAAAAAAAAAAAAAAACUACUACUUACUGAGUAAAAUUUAAAAGUAAGUGACAUAGGCAGAAAAUAACCCAGGGGAGAUAACAUACUAGGUAAGACCUAACCAAAUAAAAGAGCUAGUGCAACUGUUAUCAAUAAUGAGAAACAUAGAUCCUAGACAAAAGUAUAAUUAGAAAUACAGAAGCAAGCCAGGUAGGUGGAAGUGGCACAGGCCUUUAUCAUAGCAGAGAAGCAAGUGGAUUUCUGAGUUGGAGGCCAGCCUGGUCUACAGAAGAAGAGUUCCAGAACAGCUAGAGCUACACAAAGAAACUGUCUCAAAAAGACAAACAAAACAAAAGGAAAUACAGAGGCCUUGCUCUCUGUAGUUCCCAUGGUGGGCAUGGGAUAGCAAUUGCUAUUUACUAGUCUCCAAUAAUGAUAAGGCACAAGCCUGUGCCCUAUAUAACCUGCACACAGAUGCCUGAUCCUUGCAGGUAGGUCCUAGAACUACAAUAGGGUUUGAAGAAAAUCACUACUAUUUUGUCCUUGAAGAAAACCUAACCAGCAUUAGAAGCCCACUCAGGAAUAGGGCUGUUUACAUAGAAUCUGCACUAACCUAAGGAGUGAAAGCCUGGGCUUUGGAAUCUCCACCUUGGAGAUGAUUGGCAUGUCAGCAAGGUUUCAGUGAUAAUUUCUGCUAAUUCAACUAUGAGCAGUGUCAGGGACAGAGAAGGUGGUUACUGUGGACUCUGCUGCUACAAAGAAUAAUUUCUGUCUGAAUUUAGGCAGAUCCUAGAAACUCUGGUCUCUCCCAUAUUAAUCCAUGUGAGCAGCUAACAACCUGUUAGGCAAGAAGAAAAGAGGCUGAAACCAGCACAUUUAUGUACCAGGUAGACAUCAUUACUUGGGUGUGGUUGCAGAUACAUCUAGUUCUGGUCUCGGAGCCAGAGAUGACUUGAGAGGGUGAGCCUGGGUAAGCUUACUGAGACCUUCCCCAAAGCAGAGAGCAUUUUACCUUACAAGUAACUGAAGUACUUGAUUUCAUAUCUAGAUCUAGAUAGAGAUAGAUAGAUCCAAGUAACUGUUUUUACAUUUAUUUAUGUAUGUGAGUGUGGAGGCAUGUGCAUGUCACAAUAACGUGUGGUAGUCAGAGGAUAUAACCUGUAGGAGUCUGUUCUCUUUCCACCAUGUGGGAUCUGGAGAUCAAACUCAAGUUGUCAGGCUUGGAGGCAAGAACCUUAACACUCCAAGCCAUCUCACCAGUCCCAGAUAAGAUAUUUUAGAGUGAAUGAGUGAGUGAGAGAGAGAGAAAGAGAGAGAGAGAGUGUGUGUUAAUUGUGUGUGUGAGUCAGCGGGUGAGUUCUGGGCCAGCCUGAGCAGUGAUACUCUGCCUCAAAACGAAAGGAACUCUCACAAAGACUGUGUAUGUUGUAUAUGUCUACAGACUUAACUUAGUGGUAGACCAGUAGCAUGGCAAGCAGGAAGACCUGAGUUUAAUCCACAGCAGCAGGCGGGGAAGGACAAUAAGCAAAGAAACUAGUUGAAAGGAACUAAAAAGGAGAAAUUAGUGAAGACAAAGUAGUAGAGCAACAAAACAAAGGGAAGAGCCAAGCAGUCCAGGCAAGAUUGCAAGUUUGAGGACAGCUUAGGCAUCCUAGCACUUUCUAGGCCAGCCAGGGCUACAAAAUUAGACCACGUUAAAAGCUGAGCAUUCAGGGACCCCAGCAGAAGAGCUAGAGAAAGGACUGAAGGAGCUGAAGGGGCUUGCAAUCUCAUAGGAAGAACAACAAUAUCAACCAACCUGACCACCCACAGCUCCCAGGGACUAAACCACCAACCACAGAGUAUAAACAGAGGGACCCAUGGCUCCAGCUGCGUAUGUAGCAGAGGAUGGCCUUAUCUGUCAUCAAUGGGAGGGGAGGCCCUUGGUCCUGUGGAGGCUUAAUACCUCAGUGUAAGGAGACACUACAGUGGUGAGGUGGGAAUGGGGGUUGGUGGGUAGGGAAGCACCCCCAUAGAAGCAAAGGAGAGAGGGGAGGGGAUAGGAGGGUUUGCAGGAAGGGGGACAACAUUUGAAACAUAAAUAAAUAAAAUAACCAAUUUUUAAAAAGCUGGGCAUCUAUCUUUAAUCCCAGCAUGUAUGAGGUAGAGGUGAGACCAUCAGAGUUCAAGGCCAGGAUUUGAUAUGUAAGACCAGGUCUUUAAAAACAACAGUAAAAGAAACUGGCAGACUUUUUUUUAAUCCCACCACUUAGGAGGCAGAGGCUGGUGGAUCUUUGCGUUUAAGGUCAGCCCAGUCUACAGGUGGAGUUCCAGGAUAGCCAGGGUUACACAGAGAAACCCUGUCUCAAAAAAGAAAACAAACAAUAACCAACCAAUCCUUCACCCAAAAGUAAGGGGCCACUUUUCACCAAACCUAAUGACCUGAGUUUGAUCUCUGGAUCCCACAAGUUUUUCUCUAUUCUGCACAUUUACACUGUGUGAACACACACACUCACAAUCACUCUCUCUCCCUCACUAAUAAAAUAAAAGUAAAAAAGCUUAAAAAAGGGGCUGGUGAGAUGGCUCAGUGGGUAAGAGCACCCGACUGCUCUUCCGAAGGUCUGGAGUUCAAAUCCCAGCAACCACAUGGUGGCUCACAACCAUCUGUAAUGAGAUCUGACUCCCUCUUCUGGAGUGUCUGAAGACAGCUACAGUGUACUUACAUAUAAUAAUAAAUAAAUAAAUCUUAAAAAAAAAAAAAAGCUUAAAAAAGAAUGUCAAAUUCUAGAAGAAAAAGUUUUAAAACUUCAAAUCUGAUUUUAAAAUUUUAUUAUUUAAAAACUCUUAACAGGUUUCUAUAUUUUACCAUGUAUGAUGAAAUAAAGUAUACUUAUGUAACUAAGUGGAUAAUGAUGAAAGGGCAUCAACUGUCUUCCUAUAGUCGAUACAUAAAACAGAACCUAAUUUUUAUCAAUUGUAAUCAUGAGCUAAGAUUAACACAUGUAAGUCCCCUAUCUCUGGGGCUGUUUGUUUAAAAAGAAUAAUAAAAUAAUUUAAAAAAAUGAUUAACACAUGUAUUUUUGUGAGUUUUAUAAUUAGAAUAUAUUAGAAACCCUUUGUUAUUAGGGUAUUAGAUAUAUACACAUAGAAACAUUUAAGGGCUGGAGUUUAGUAGCAAAGCAAAAUCUAAAAUUCCUAAAGUUCUGGAUUCAGUUGAUCAGCACCAACAAUAGCAAAAGACGUUUGAAAAAUUAUUAGAUGUGGGAAUUGUGGCUCAGUGGUACAGUGCUUGCUCCACAUGUGCAUGGUAGGCCCUAGGUUCAAUCUCUAGUCCUGGGGAGGAAAGCUAAACGAUUAUUUUAUAUUCUAGUAAGCUAAAAACAAUUUUAUAAAAAACAUCAUCAUUUUCAGCCUGUGGCUAACUUACAUAGCAUGAGCACUCAAAUAAGUUCUCUGCCUGCUGGGCACUAUGCUCACUAUAAAUAAGUAGAAUUAACAACGGCUAACAGACCUUUGAAAAUAUUGUUAGGAAGGUUCAACUACUGUUACCAAUUUUAGAAAAUCACUUUUGUCCUGUAAAUUCUUACUAUUUGGCAUGCAAUGACGGUAACUAAAAGUCUCCAGAAUAAACACAACGUCCUUCAACUGUUUCCAUAAAAUCAAAAAUCUCUAUAAAGGUAGGUUUAUCAUCAGCCUCAGAAUAUUUGGUGCAGGAGAGCUAACAGGUGCGGGAAAUAAGUCAUAAAGUACAACCCUUACACAACAAACAGGAGCAAAUCUAACAAGCUGGCAGGGCUGGAGAUGUAACUCAGUGGCAGAGCACCACCCACCAUGCACUAGGCCCUGGGUUUCAACCCUAGUACAGAUGGGGUAUGACUGAAGGAAGCCAUAUUCAGGAGGUAGGUGCAGUAGGAUAAUACUCACAGUCCAAACUCAUCCUGGACUACACAUUGAAUUUAAGGCCAGGCUGGGAUAAGAGACCUUGCUGAGCAAAUCAAAGAAAGAGAAAUCUGUCUGGAUAGAAAUAGAGAACACUAUUUAGCCUACCAGAAAGUAUAACAAAGUAGCUCCAGAAAAUACUAUGAUUAACUACAAUUUUUAAAACUCUGGGGAAAAAAUUUAUACCUACUGUUAAAUAUUGUUAUAUAGAAACAGUUGUGGGACUGGAGAGAUGGCUGGGUGUUUAAAAGCAAUGGCUGGUCCAGAGGUCCUGGAUUCAACUCCCAGCACCCACAUGGUGGCUCACAGCUGUCUGUAACAGGGGAUCUGAUGCACUCUUCUGGCCUUCCAGGGCACCACGAGUACACAUGUUCACAGAUAUAUAUGUAAACAAAAAACCAUACACAUUAAAACAAAAACAAACAACCACUAAGAGAUAAGUAUCAGAGGUAAGAUUUAAAAAGCCUCUCAUGAGGGAGAGAACACCAAUUUCCCCCCAUGGUUUAAUGAGCUUAUGAUGUCUGAAACUGGAGCAGCCAUAUUACAUUAAGAAGUGAGGUGCUAAGAAUGGUGGAGCAGCAACAAAGGACAUAAAUACUGGAAAACUUAGAGCCAUUCUCCCAACCCUCGGCUAGCUUUCAUUUGUGCUUUUUUUGCCAAGAGAGAAAAGUUACUAACUUCUAUUUUGUUUAAACUACUAAUUUUAUUAUUCUGAUACAUGCAAACAAACAUAAUUCUGAUUACAGAAAAAAGCAUGUAGGAUUUAGACACACAAAGACUCGGACAAGCAGGUUUUGUCUGAGGAUGAAGGAAGCAUCAAGAAGAGAUUAGAACAAUGUGAGCAAGAAGAUGACUUAUGGGAGAUAGAGCAAGAGAAGGUGAUGAAAGAAGGUUGAACACCAAGCUGGUGAGCUUGGACUUCAUCCUGUGACAGACAAUUGGGUCAGACAAAGUUACUCUCAGACAGGACUGUCCAAGGUCACCCAGCACCAUCCACUUCUAGGCAGCCUUUGAGAGAACUUGUAUCCAGAAUGGAACUAGAGGUUUUACACUGAAACAUAUUUUCCAGUUCCCUUCCUCUUCACAAUUCACCAAGCUUGGCUUCUUUUAACUUUUAAAAUUAUAUUAUAUAUAUUAUACAUACAUGGCAUAUAUAUAAAUUAAGAUUUUGUUUAUUUUAUUUAUAUGAGUACACUGUAGCUGUCUUCAGAUAUACCUGAAGAGGGCAUCGGAUCCAAUUACAGUUGGUUGUGAGCCACCUUGUGGUUACUCAGCCCUUAAAGGCUUUGCUCACAACCAAAAAUGUAUACAUAUUUUUGAGACAGGGUCUCUAUAUAUAGCCCUUGCUGCUUCAAAAAUCACAAUGUAGACCAGGGUGGCCUCAAACUCAGAGAUCCACCUGCCUCUGCCUCCAGAACACUGAGAUUCAAGGUGUGUGCCACCACAUCCUGCCCAUAUCUUUAAAAAAAAAAUUAUUAUUUUUAAGUUUGUAUGUUUUGUCUAUACGAAUGUCUGUAUACUACUUAUGUGCCCAUAGAGGUCAGAAGAGGACACUGGAUCCUCUGAACCUGCAGUUACAGAUGGCUAUAAGCCACCAAGUGGGUGCUGGGAAUCAAACCAGUUGCUCUGAAAGAGCAGCCAGUGUUCUUUAACUGAGCCAUCACUCCAGCCUGGCCCAGUGUUCUUUUAACACAAUUAUUUCAGUUGAGAGCUCUACUUCAGCUAGUCUUUCCUCAGACAUGUCACUUAGUUUAAUUAAAAUAAUCUCUAGAAAACUUGCUAAUGGCAUCUUAGAAAACAAACAAAAACCAAACAACCUAAGCUGCAGCACACAUAUAUACAUCACAAAUUUAGUUUUGUUCAUAUUUUUAAAGUGGGUCAAAGUUAAGGUUUGGGGGCUCACUGUAUUAUACUGAGUUAAGUAGCUCAGGUUGGUCCUGAACUCAUAGAGCUUCUGCCUCCUGACUGCUGGGAUUAUUAGGUAAACUACUAUAGCUAGCUAGAGGUAAUUUUAAAAUGUUAAGUUAACUUCGGUUCUAAAUAGUUAAAUGACCUCAUAGCUUAUAUUAAAGGAGAACUUGUCAUCACCUGUCCUAUGGGAUAGUUAACUUUUAACCUGCUAGCAUUUCUCAAUAUAUUAGAUAUUUAGUUUCAGUACAAUACCAGCUACAAUGAACAGUUUAUAGACUGACUUUGUUUAGUUUCUGUUUAAGACUGGUACAAACUAAAGAGAGAUAUCUGUGUACUUUUAUGCUCACACAUAUUUACCUAUUAUCCUAAUUAAAAAUAGGGGGCUGUCUGAUUUCCUUCUCUUUUUAACCUUUGCUUUUUAAUUUUAUUUCCACCAGUCUGUGAAUUUCUUCUCUUAAUGUGAGCGUACACCAUUCAGAAGGGGAGAAUCAUUAACCUUGUCUUAUUUCAUGCAGGGUCCAAGUAUCUUAAACUUUUAGAAACAACAAACUAACCCACUAUAAAACCUUAAAAGUAUUUUUAGCUGAAUACUUAAGCUUUAAUUGAAGGUCAACUGGGUACAGAGACAAUAAUCAACUUUUCAGGUCAUGUAACUGCUCUUCCAAACAGAAGAAACAGGUGAUCUGGCUCACGGGAACACAGAAGUGACUUUGCACAUUUUCCUCCUGUUUAAGGAUAGUGUCCAUGCCACAGGCAUUUACAAUGUACAGCCAAUCUUCAUUUCAAAAAGGGACAUUACAUUUCCCACACCCUCUUGCUGGUAUUAAUGACAGUAGCUAGACAACAAGUCCUAAAAAUGCUCGAGGAGAGAAACAAAGCAUAGAGAGAAAAGAUUAAAAGUUAUCCCUGAUAUUAGGUAUUGUAUUAGGAUAUUUUGAAAAAUUAUUUUAUGUACACUCUUGGUUUUGCCUGCAUCAUGUCUGGGUGAGGGUGCUGGAUCCUGGAGUUACAGUUGUGAGCUGCUGCCAUGUGGGUGCUGGGUACUGAACCUGGGUCCUCUGAAGAGCAGGCAGUACUUUUAACCACUGGACCAUCUCUAUAGCCCUAUAUUAGGCUAUUUUAAUCAAAAGUACUUAUACUCUAGAAAUCAGUAUUUCAAACCUUAGCAACAUAUUAACAAGCAUUACCCAAAAUUAUUUUAGUUGGGUGUAGUGGCAGCGCCACUGUAAUCCUUGAACUUGGGGGCUUAAAGCCAGAGCACUUCAAGUUAAAGGCCAGCCAGGACUACAGAGUGAGCCUCUUCCUAAAAAAAUAAUUAAACAGGGGCCAGCAAGAUGACUCAGUGGGUACAGACUCUAGCCACCAAUUCUUACAAUCCAAGUUCAAUCCGGAACUCUCAUGGUGGAAGGAGAAAACAGACCCCCCACAGGCUGUUUUCUGAUCUCUAUACAGAUACCCCCAACACACAACAAAUUUUUUAGAAAGAAAAUUAUCCACCACACUACUAGGUAGCAAAUUCAAACUGAGCUUCAUUUCAGCGUACUUAGGAAAAGACAGACAGACAUGGCCUUUGAGUUCCUAAAUCCAAAGCAGUUAUAAACAUACCAAAAACUUUGCAAUAUGAACAGGUAAUAUUUAAGAUUAUUGCUAAAAAAACCUGUAACCUUUAAACUAUAUGCAUUGGGCUGGGGGGGGGGGGGCUUCAAAAAAAUCUAUUGCUCAGCUGGGCCUCGUGGCACAGGCACAGGCUUGUAACCUGAGUCACCUGGUGUCUGCGCCUAGAGGAUCCCAAAUUCAAAGCCUGGCUGGACUACAAAGUGAGUUCAAGUUGCCUGGGCAACUUAGUGAAAUCAUUUCAAAGCUGAAAUCAGGAAGGUGAGGGCCAGCAUGGUUAUAGAUCAAUAGUUUCAGGGCUAUCCUCUCUAGGUAACCGAGCUACACCAGCCCCAGUCUCAAAAAGACAAAAGAGGGGCUGGGCAUAGUCAGUCAGAAAGUGUUUGCUUGCACACACAUAAUUCUCCCUCUCAUGCUGUUUCACAAAAAUGGGGGGAGCGGGAACCCCAGGAAUAGAGCUCAGUGUCCCAGAGGUCCUACUACAGAAGGAAGGAAGGAAGGAAAGGAAGGAAGGAAGGAAGGAAGGAAGGGAGGAAGGAGGGAGAGAGGAAGGGAGGGAAGAAAGGAUAAAUCCUUCGUUUUGCAAAGUAUAAUAUGACACAACAUUAUAACUGCCUACUGUUUUUAUUAUCCUUGUUUUCCUUCUUUUCGCCAGUUAACUUACAAUUACUAUCAGAAGAGAACUAUGACAAUGGAAGAAAUAAUAAAGGGUAAGUUGACAUGAUUAGAAUAUAUGGAAUGAGCAAAACCCACUAAUCUACAGUGCAACAUUAGUAUAAGGAUUACGUUUAAACAUUAGACCAAAUUCCAUAUACAGUAAAGCAGUUUGGUAUUAAUUAUCAAUCAAUUAAUAAAUUUUGAGACAGGAUUUCAUUAUGUACUUCCAGCUGGCCUGGGACUCACAAAAUUCCUCUAGCUUCUGCCUGAGUACUGGGAUUAAAGGCCCAAUUUGGGAUUUUUUGUUUGUUUUUAAAGAAAAAUUGUUGGGAACUCAUGACUUUUCUCCUUUGUUAGCUAACUGACUCCAUGUACCCUGGAAGUCAAAGCAUCAUAAUAAUUACGACGGAAUGGGCAGGCACUACAUAAGCAUACAGGCCUCAAACUCGUAGGUGUGCUGCUAGCACAUUUCCCUUCAACAGAGACAUACAAAUGAGCUGACAAAUAUAUCCCCAUGAUUCGAGAAAUAUCUAAGAAGUUGUGCUGGGUUUUUCGUUUGGGCCUCACAGCCGUCGCGGGACGUAGGUACUAUUACCGGGACUUUACCGAUAAGAAGACUGAAGCCCAAAGGGUUCAGGAAAGAGAUCACGAGGCCACACAACUCACAACCCUAAUAACCGAGCCCUGCAUCGCUGCCUGAAUGGAGACACCACCUUAAAGAGUUCCCUGCAAGCUCACAAGUGGCCCGAGCGCUUCCGGAGGGACAACGUCCUGAGCAAAUCAAAGCCCACUACAGAACCUGGGUCCCUAACAUGGGCCGGAGUCCUAGCUGCCUGGUACACUUGGGUGCUACACCGAGGCUCGGGAGCGGAUCGGUUCCUUUCCACUCGCCAGGGCCCUCCCCGGUUGCGGGAGGAGCCGUCGGCGGAGGGCUCCAGGCCGCCCUCGCUCCCGCGGGCCCGCCAGCCAAGGUUCCCGCCACACCAGGUCCCGCGGAUCCCGCGGGUCUCGAGGGUUCCCCGGGUCCUCCGGCACACUCACCUUUUGCUCCUCCGCAGACGCUGCCUCGGGGACUUCCGCGGACAUGGUGCUCCUUCUGCAGAAGAGACGCCGGGAGAAGACAGAUUACCGGGAGGCAAGACCGCCCGCCACCUUCUGCCUGCCCCGCUGCCCGCCGGGCCGGCGGCUACCGCCGCCUUGUGACGACACGGGCCCCGGGCUCCCGCCCGCCGUAGCUCCCGCAGCCCAGGCCCGCCAGGCUCCCGCGCCGCGCCCUUACCUACCUAUCCCCGCGCCUCCGGCCCUGCGACGCCCGAGCACUUCCUCUUUCCCUCAAAGGUUGCGGCUCGCGCCUCACCUCACUUCCGUCCAUGGGCGCACAGUGCUUCCUGGGAAUUGUAGUUGGUCUGUGGCGCUGUGUUCCCCCUCCCCUCCACUUCCCCCGCCUUUCCAGACAACCCUGACCUCCUAUUUAGUCCUCUGCUUGCUUGGCAGUACCUCUGCUUCAGUUUAACCCCAUCCAUCUUUACUUCCUCUGUUCUCUAACCUUGCCUCAGCGCCACCUUUUCUUCUUAGAUCAACCUCUUCAAGCUACCACUGCUCCGGAGAGUUCUACAACAAGCACAGCACCAUUACACAGGAAUUGUGAUUACUUUAGUAAUGUCACCAUUCCUCUUCAUGUUAGCCACAGCAGGGAAGAAGUCAAUAUUUUACUCCCAGACCUUGAUAUUUCCCAUGCAAUAAAUCACUGAUAAAUCAA